rnacentral:rRNA from 1 species
AACGGACGCUGGCGGCAGGCUUAACACAUGCAAGUCGAACGCCCCGCCAGGGGGGUGGCAGACGGGUGAGUAACACGUGGGAACAUGCCCAAAGGUACGGAAUAUUCUCGGGAAACUGAGAGCAAUACCGUAUGUGCCCGACAGUGGUAAGAUUUAUCGCCUUUGGAUUGGCCCACGUCGGAUUAGCUCGUUGGUGGGGUAAAAGCCUACCAAGGCGACGAUCCGUAGAUGGUCUGAGAGGACGACCAGCCACACCGGGACUGAGACACGGCCCAGACUCCUACGGGAGGCAGGAGUGGGGGAUCCAGGACUAUGGGCUCGAUCCUGAUCCAGCCAUGCCGCGUGGAUGAUGAAGUCCCGAGGGUUGUAAAAUCCUUUCGUUGGGGACGAUAAUGACGGUACCCAAAGAAGAAGCUCCGGCUAACUUCGUG